AUAGGGGAGCCGGAGGGAAACCGAGUCUUAACCGGGCGUUAAGUUGCAGGGUAUAGACCCGAAACCCGGUGAUCUAGCCAUGGGCAGGUUGAAGGUUGGGUAACACUAACUGGAGGACCGAACCGACUAAUGUUGAAAAAUUAGCGGAUGACCUGUGGCUGGGGGUGAAAGGCCAAUCAAACCGGGAGAUAGCUGGUUCUCCCCGAAAGCUAUUUAGGUAGCGCCUCGUGAAUUCAUCUCCGGGGGUAGAGCACUGUUUCGGCUAGGGGGCCAUCCCGGCUUACCAACCCGAUGCAAACUGCGAAUACCGGAGAAUGUUAUCACGGGAGACACACGGCGGGUGCUAACGUCCGUCGUGAAGAGGGAAACAACCCAGACCGCCAGCUAAGGUCCCAAAGUCAUGGUUAAGUGGGAAACGAUGUGGGAAGGCCCAGACAGCCAGGAUGUUGGCUUAGAAGCAGCCAUCAUUUAAAGAAAGCGUAAUAGCUCACUGGUCGAGUCGGCCUGCGCGGAAGAUGUAACGGGGCUAAACCAUGCACCGAAGCUGCGGCAGCGACGCUUAUGCGUUGUUGGGUAGGGGAGCGUUCUGUAAGCCUGUGAAGGUGGCCUGUGAG
rnacentral:rRNA from 1 species